rnacentral:lncRNA from 1 species
UAGAAUAAAUUUUAGGUAAUUCAAUUUCUUUCAAUUCGUUUUCAUUCCACCCAAAUUUCAUUUUUACAAUCAAACGAACCCUUAACAAAUGUAAUUUCCACGAAGAUAACUAACUAGAAGCCCACUGCCCAGCUGAUGAAGUAAAACCAGUCCGAGUAAUUGUUGGCUAUGGAUCAGUCACGAUUCCGGCCCAGCCAAAUUCAUCGAAUCUCGAAAGUUCUACAUAUUUCUGGGUCCACCGUUUACACCUCUAUUUCCAGACUCAUCUCUCUCCCUCUAUUUCUCGGCGAACAAAAGAAUAAUAAUAU